rnacentral:lncRNA from 1 species
CCGCGUACACUUCAGCAAGGCUUUCGGCGGCAACGGCUUCUACGGUAGAAGUCUACGGUAGCGUGGUUCCACCUGGCACUUCACACGCUUCAUGAUCAGGUACAUUGCACAGGCCGGAAGAAAAGAAUGAGAAGCAGAACCAAAAUCUUACUUUGCCACCAAUGCAGCUGAUGAGGAGUGACAGAAAGGAAUACCUAGGAACUAUGCUGUGAGUGCCAUCCGUCUGGCCUUCAUUGCCAUGCUUC